rnacentral:rRNA from 1 species
UACGAGUGCCUCAAGCGUUAUCCGGAAUUAUUGGGCGUAAAGGGUGCGCAGACUGUUGUGUUAGUCUCCUGUUAAAGCCUACGGCUCAACCGUAGAUCUGCGGGGGAAACGGCACAACUUGAGAAUGUGAGGGGUCUAUGGAACUCUAGGUGUAGGGGUGAAAUCCGUUGAUAUCUAGGGGAACACCAAAAGCGAAGGCAAUAGACUGGCACAUUUCUGACGUUCAGGCACGAAAGCGUGGGUAGCGAAUGGG